GUACAUAAUUUUAGAUAUAUUCACUUAAUAUACUUAAUAAAGUAAAUUACAUUUAAGUCCUUCUUUAUACACUUUUUCAAUGUGUUCUUUUGCUACAUUAAUGUAACUCGCCUAAGCUUCUUGAUGGUCUGCACCUUGAUCUGUAAUAUUAGGUGUUUUUUUCUAAUUUGACAAUAUAUUAUAUAUUGUCAGGAUACGACGGCAUACAAAAUAUCACAUGAAGUUGACUGCCUUGGUGGUUAUCAAUUAUUUGGUAAGUUCCCCUAAAAAUUAAAAUUACCGUCAUGCUAUUUGAGUUUUAAUCUAAAAAAGAUUUUAGUACUCAGUAUUUAAAAAUGGGUAUUGUAUAAAAGGGUAUCUAAUCCUUGUUUAUGAUCAAUAUUUAAAAUAUAUUAGAUUAUAAAAGAAUAUUAAUACUAUUUCACCAAAUAUAUUUGAUUUAUAAGCUAUAAUUUAUAUACUAUUUUCAGUUUAUUACUAUAAAAGUCUGACCGCGACUGCUGGCACUUUUUAAGUCAUAGUAUUUAUAAUUGGUUUAUUCUUACUUUCGUAAAUUUAUAAAUUUUCUUUCCUGGUAUAUUAUCUUUUUAGUUCCAUAAGUAUUCCUAUUUUUUAUAAACAGUUCACCAU
rnacentral:rRNA from 1 species